rnacentral:rRNA from 1 species
UUCACUUCUUUCUGGCCUCAAAUCAGGUAA